ACCCAGUACCCUCUUUGACCUUGAAGUCACCAGACAUGCACAAGGUGCAACUUACAAGCAGACAAAUACACAUGCAACGUAAAAUUAAAUUAAAAGCUUAAAGUGUACACCAACAGAAGUUGCCAUCUUUACAAUAUGUAACUGUACAAAUCAGGGGUGGUUAAUGUAUUCCUAAUAAAUACUCUACUAUGAAUGUGUAUUAAUAUAUAUUGACUAUGAAUAUAUAUUCAUAUAUACAUACAUGAAUCUCUUCAGGGAGUAUACAUGGAUAUGUAUGAAUAUAUAUGCAUAUAUGAAUAUAUAUGAACAUACAUAUAUAUGAAUAUAUAUUCACAGUGUAGUAAAUAUAUUCAUAAUAUAGUAUACCAUCGUCAUCAUCCAGCUCUAGAAGGCUUCCAACUUGCAAACUCAACCUCUGUAGCCAUGCAAUCACCCGAGUCACCCCACUUUCCCAGCCCCUUCCACUUAGUGUUCUAUUUUCUGCUGUAUACCUCAUAUGAAUGAAAUCAUCUUGUAUUUGUAUUUGGGGAAACUAAUCCCCUUACGAUCAUUACUAUUACACUGCUGUGACCAAAUAUCUAACAUAAAGAGCUUAAUGGACCAAAAAUAUAUUUCAGCUUAUGGUUUCAGAGUGCCUGUUCCAUGGCUGUUUAACCUGUGUAUUUGAACAAAUGAUCAUGGCCAUGAGAGCAAGUGGCAGAGAAAGUCCCGACAUCAUGGCAGACAAGAAGUGGAGGAGGAGCAGCAAAGUACUUAGGGCUAAAACAUCCUCAAGAACCAAUCCCUCCCAGUAACCUACUCCCUCCAGAGCUGUGGUCGCAACCUCCCUAACGCUGUGACCUUUUAAUAUCAUUAAAUUAUUUUCAUUGCUACUUCAUAACUGUAAUUAUGCUACUUUAUUAUAAUACUUUUAUUAUUAUACUUUAUGUAAUUAUACAUAAUAUAAUUGUCUGACAUUUCUGAUGGUCUUAGAUGACCUCCCCAAGCGGAGCAACCCACACAGACUGAGAACCAUUACUCUGUAUGGUUCCUAUCUCUUAAAAUGUCCAAAACAACCGAAAAUAGAGCUACCACAUAGGCUUUUGACACACGAGGCAGCAGGAGACAAUGCUGGGCUCUGCAUGGAUCUAGGGGCUGAGCUACAUGGGACAGUGAGGGGACGAAGCAAAGGCAGACACUCAGAUAACAACAUACAUACCAACACAAGGGGAGAAGCUGGGAUCAGAUGGUCUAGGCUGUGUGAUGGAGAAACCACAGUACCCCAAAAUCUCAGCUCGCUCAGUAUGUAGUUGAACAGGGAAGCAAGGUUACUGUAUUGAGCUGCACAAGAAGACAGGGUUAGCCAGUCUAGGUUGGAACAUCUCCAUAAGGGAGCAGGCUCUAUUGGGGCAUAGGCUCUGUAGGGGAGCCUUCUCUACAAGGAAGCAGUCUCUCUGUAGGGGAGUGAGAGACCAGGUCUUUUGGGUUAAGACUCCAUCUUAGAGAACCUAAGGUUGAACUGGAGUUAACAGGCUGGUACCUAGCACCAGUUUCCAGGUUAUUCCCCAACAAAUCUGCACCUCCAUGUUACAAGCCAGCCUCUGACACUUCACUUCCUAACAACCAAUCAAGAAAACAAACAAACAAAC
rnacentral:lncRNA from 1 species